CUAGCUGCAGGCUGUUCAUUGACUGUACGUUCUCCCUGUCCCACUCCUUUCUCCAAAAGAGUAUAGGCUGCAUUAAUAGAAUGGCUCUGUGUUUGCCUUAGGCCAACAACAGGAUUGCAUCCCAGCAAAAUGACAGAAAUGUAGCAAACUCAUGGAAAGUAUCACAGAUGCUAAGCCUUUUCUCUUUAGUAGGAUAAUACUACUACUUCACACUUACAUAGUGUCUUGCAUCUUAAAAGCACUGUACAAACAUUGAGAGACAGGUUACGUAACCUCAAAUGACAGAUAUAUCCUAGCAAUAUGGUUAUAGUCUGCCACAGAUGGAAGAUUGUCAACAGAAAGAUUGGGGGGGGGGGGAGUUGAUAGUCUAGGUCAUGUUAGUCAUCAAUGAAAAAAAAUACACUCUGCAGAAAUUUCUCACUAUAACCCAGAUUUAGGGAAUUUAUAACACGGGAUAAGGGGCAGUGACUUUUGCAAAAUUUGAGGGUUUUUGUUUUUUUUUUUAACGAAAUCUUCUAGCCUUUCUGGUUGUGAAGAUAACCUUCUGGAUGUGCACUGUUUUCUUCCAAAGUCUCCCUGGGAAAGACAUUUCACAGGAAGAAGGUUUCAAGCUUUUACAGAUACAACUAAAUGAAUGUUCUAGCAAAUAUUGCAAUGAUCUGGUCUUCAAUGUAUCAGUCUGGCAGAAGGCGAAAGAGAAAAUAACAUGCAUGGGGAGUCAGAAGAUCUAUAGAGGAGAUUAGGUGUGAAAAGGUCCCUUUUAUAAAACAAUAUUCAAAUACACUAAAAUUAGGAUUUUCAUGGGUGUUUUUUUUUCAAUUAAUUUGCCAAAGGUAAUCCAGAAGUUAUGCCCAGAAUUAUUUCCAGUACAUUUCCAGCGGCCCUCUCUUGUAACUGUUUAUGUAUUUCUUAAGGCAAAUAGAACAGGCAGAUCUAAUGAACUCAGUCUUGGAAAAAGAAACAUUAAACGCAAACUGGCUGGAGUCAACCAUACUUCAAACUUCUGGAAAAUAUAAUGCAUGUAUAGUAAGUCUAGGUGCAGUCCUCUGCCACACUUUCUUGGGAAAAGAGGAAGAAGAAAGAGCUGAUGUAUAUUCAAUCUAAAUAAAUAAACAAUCAGACAAAACCCUAUUAAACAAGAAGAUAAUAUCUAGAUAAUAGCAGAAAGCCCUAUCACAAUAUAUAGAAAAUAUGCCUACUUUGACUACUUUCCUGCCAUGCAGCAAAAUCCGUCACGCGGUGGCUGGAAGAACUGAUGGUACAAUAGAGACCAAGAGCUAUGACAGAUUAUGGAGCUAUGACAUUUCUUUGUUUUUCCAGCUGCCAUAAAACUGGUUUUAUUUACUUAAGUAUAUAAAAGUCACAUGAGGGUCACCCUUGUGUAAGAUAGGAAACCAUAGCAAAGUUGUGAACGAGAGUACGUGAUCUAGGAACAGGAAAAACUAACAUUUAAUUUUGGGAUUUGCAACCAUUGGCCUCCAAUGCCAGUGGAACAGAACAAUUCCAGUCUGUCCCAGUACAGAAAUACGAUCUGUGCACAAAUUACUAAGGUAAACAUCAUUAGCAUUCUGUAUAACACUGACUGUUCUUUCCUGCUUCUGGGGCUGUUUUAAACCAUGUUCUUCUGCAAAGCUGUACUUUUCUAGCCCACAUACAUGUUAGUAACCUCACAAAGUAGUACUUUGACCAUAAUUAAUACAAGUUACCUCUCAACUGCUCACUAUUGAAAGACUAGUCGAGAUCAUCACAACAAAUCAAGAAGUCUGCCUCUGGUGACAAUAUCAAGCAACCAAACUGAUUAUCUUCCACACUCUUCUCUGCAGAAUCUAAGACGGUUUUCUAAUGUUCUCUAGCUUUUCUUUCUUCGUUAAUUCCCUAUUUUAUAUUACCAGAGUGGAACAUUUGUUUUAAAAACAGAUUUAUCUUCGUUUCGGGAGCAAAGCAUUAUAACUAGAAAUAAUUUUAAAGUUAAAAUAUGUAGGAAAUUCACACUUAAUUCUUCAAGCACAGGCAGGCAGAGUCCAAAACACCAGAUGUUAGAAAUAAGGAAGAAAACGUUUCAAGACUGAGAUAUUGUGCAUUACACAAUUCCCUUACAAACCGUUAAAGGAGAGUUAUAAAUCUAUGGAAAUCAGCUUCUGGUCACAAGUCAAAAAACUAAAGGCUACUUUAAAUUCAAAUUUAAGUAAUAUAUGUGCAAUGCUUUUCUUAAAAUUAGCUUUUUAAGAUUAUAAAGUGCCUUGUGAUUAUUGAGAAGGAUGCCAGAAGGGCGUACUACACUGCAAAUGUUAAUACAACUUUAACUAUGUUGGUGCCAUUAUAAUGACAUCAUUCAAAAGUCUACACAUGCUAUUAAAAAAAUAUUUUCAGGGACUGAUGGCAUUUUUCCCGAAAAUCUGUCAUGCUGUGGUAGCAGUGAUAACUAAGAUUUCUAAAUCACCCUCUCUUAUUAGGCUGUAGUUUUAUCUCUGUUUUAAUAAGCAGGACCCUGAAUCAGAAGUAAAAACAAUAUUUCAUCAGAUUUCGCAGCUCUCUAUCACCACAAGAUCAUGUUCACGGGAAGAUAAUUCUAAAGAGCGUGCCCAGAUUAAAAGGUACAUCUUGAUAUAUACCGUGAAUGAAUACUCAACGUCAGUGCUUAACAAAAUCUGCCCACUGCUACUUUUCGCACAAUGUCGGCUGAAUUUAAGCUUUGAUUUUAAAACAAUGUGUAAAAUUUGCCAAAAUACCUAAGUGGCUUAGGAUCCUAAAAUCCAUUGAUUUUGCCUGUACUACAGCAACUGCAGCGGCAUGGUUAUGGCACUGCGGCUGUGCCACUGCAUGAAGACGCUUCUUACAUCUACGGAAGGGGGUUUUCCCAUUGAUGCAGUUAACCCGCCUCCCCCAGAGGUGGUAGUUAGAUCAACAGAAGAACUCUUCUAUCCACCGAGCUGCAUAUUUAUGUUGACCUAACUACAGCACUCAGGCAAUGUUCUUCACAGUCCUGAAUGACGUACCUAGGCUGAUCUCAUUUUUAAGUGUAGACCAGACUAUAGGCUCCUGAACCACGUACCCAGUUACCUUUCCCACCCUUUUUAUCGUGAAGACCACAUCUGAAGAUACCUUCUGCAGUGUCACCUUUUUGAAUCUGAAGAGAGAGAUGCUUGACUUCCCCCAAGUAGCAAAUUGUCAAAAACCUUUCAAUUCCACAGUUCUGAAUGGCCGCAUGGAAACUGUCCAGAAUCAUGCAAUUUCAAUCUGGUGUUGCACUGGAGAAGUGGCUCUGAAGCUGUAUUCACAAAGGACCCUCCAGAAAGAGAGGCUACAGAAAAGGUAGAGUAGUCAAGACCUCUGACACCAGCCAGGAAUGUGGGGUAAAAUAGCAGAGACCAUUCCUAUCUUAGAAAGGUCGAAAAGUUGGGGGAAAGGUAAAGUAGCACAGGAAAAUGAAUGGCAAUAUCAGACCAGCCCAAUGGUCCAUCUAGUGCAGUAGUUCAUCUUAUGGUGGCCAAUACUAAUAAUAUGUCUACUGGGAAAAAUUCUUCCUAACUCUAGUUAGCAGCUGUCUUAUGUCCUCAAGUAGGAGAGCUGAUACCCCCUUAUAAAUUCUAUCCUGGCUAGUCUAAUUGCAGAAGAAGAUCUUUUUUUCAGUAGUAACCUGUUGAACUCACUGCUCAGCGUAACACAAAGUUGUGCUAAAAAAUUAUCAGUUUUCAAUUAGUUGCCCUUGAUUUUCCCAUUUUUUGUCCUCUUGUACUUGUAUAGGGAGGGUGUGUGAUAUAUCUCUCCAUGCCAUCUCUUACGGGUCUCCUCACUAAACCAGGGUUAAUAUUUUUAACCUGCCCUCAUACAAAACUUUUCCCAAGCCUCUAGUAUUUUUCACCACCCUUCUCUGGAUCUUCUCUCAGAUAUCCUUUUUGAGAUGGAGUGACCAAAACAGAACACAAUAUUUAAAAUGAGGGAAUAGCUUCGAUUUCUAUAAUGACAGGAUAUUUUAAGUAUCUUCUGGUUUGAUUUCAAUCAGAUUUUAAAUGCGAUGCAAGUGUAAGGUGAUAAAAUGGGGGGCAUAUGGGUUUAUCAGUUUAAUCACAUACCUACUAGUCAGAGGCUGAUAUGAGCCCCCAGUAGGUUCAAGGGACAUGAUGAAUCUGGUAGGGAUGCUAACACCCAAGUGGAGGAGAAGUCAUUGUAAUGCACCCCCUCCCGAUGCUUUCUAUAUUAGCUUCCGGCUAGCAGGUUUAAAGUUCUCUAGCUAGUAAUCCCCUACAUUUUCAAAGCCCUUCUGUGCAUGUUAAAGAAGACCAUUCCUAAUGGAGGGCUGGAUUGUGCAACUACUGUUGACUUCACUGGGAAUUACUCCUAUUCAGUGGCUGCAUAAUCGAGCUCAGAAUGUGACAUAGCCCUUUUUUUUUUUUUGGUAGUUGUAGCUGACAGUACACAGUGGAGCAAUUGUUUUACCAUUAAAUUAAGAGUUAUGGAUCCAUUAUAGGUAUUAUGCUUCGAAUCAGACCAAAUAGUUGACUACCUAGCCACAUUAAAUCUACAAGAUGAAUGUUUAAAGCUAGCCUUGUAUGCUGAUUUUAAUAGAAUUUGCUGCAUGAAUGUAGUCUGUCUGGACCAUAGCUAUAAUGAGCAAGGUUUCUGAUAUCAUGUGCUACAGGGAUGCAGUCCUCAAAGUUGAAAUAUUGUUAAGACUUCUUAGCCCACAAACAUUUUGUUCAUCUGCAUGUUGUAAAUGGCAUAGAAGAAUAUUAAAAGUUUUAUCGCUA